UCCGUGGUGGGUCCAGAGGUCAGGACUCUGCGCUUUCACUGCCAGGGGCCCAAGUUCAAUUCCUGGUCAGGGAG
rnacentral:tRNA from 1 species